AGAUUGAACGCUGGCGGCAGGCCUAACACAUGCAAGUCGAGCGGCAGCACGGGUACUUGUACCUGGUGGCGAGCGGCGGACGGGUGAGUAAUGCCUAGGAAUCUGCCUGGUAGUGGGGGAUAACGCACGGAAACGGACGCUAAUACCGCAUACGUCCUACGGGAGAAAGCAGGGGACCUUCGGGCCUUGCGCUAUCAGAUGAGCCUAGGUCGGAUUAGCUAGUUGGUGAGUAUGGCUCGACCAAGGCGACGAUCCGUAACUGGUCUGAGAGGAUGAUCAGUCACACUGGAACUGAGUACACGGUCAGACUCCGUACGGAGCAGCGAGGUGGGUAAUAGUUAGGACUAAGUGGGGACAAAGCCUAGAUCCGAGCCAGUCGCCCGGUCGUAGGUGGUUAGAAAGUAA
rnacentral:rRNA from 1 species